rnacentral:sRNA from 1 species
AAAUAACCUAGCAAGAGGCCUGCUGGAGGGCAGCAGGGGAAAAUGGAAGACCCGAAUCUUUAGACGAGUCUAUUUUCAGACUCGCUCCUUUCUCUACCAAACCUGGGCUGCUUCCGAUUCCCCUUCUCUCUUCCCCAAACUGGGCUCUAACCCCCGUCCUCUGAAUCCAUGCCCGGGUAAGGUGACUAGGGGCACUGGCCCUGUCCGGGGCUGCCUACUCACCCGCCGCGGGAGGGGCCGGGUGGCUUUUUUGGGGACUGAGCCUCACUCUGGCGCCCAGGCUACAUUGCAGUGGCGCGGUCUUGGCUCAGUGAAGCCUCGACCUGCCGGACUAAAGCAGUUCUCCCGCCUCAGCCUCCCCAAGUAGCUGGGACUACAGGUGCACGCCACCACACCCGGCUAAUUAUUAUACUUUUUAAAUUAAAAAAAAAUUUUUUUUAGACGGAGUCUCGUUUUAUCCCCCAGGCUGGAGUGCAUUGGCGCAGUCUCAGCUGCAACCUCCGCCUCCUGGGUUCAAACGAGUCUCCUGCCUCAGCCUCCUGAGUAGAUGGGAUUACGGGCGCCCGCCACCACGCCCGGCUAAUUUUUGUGUUUUUAGUAGAGAC